UUUGAAGGGUAAAAUGAGACAAAACACUU
rnacentral:piRNA from 1 species